UACGUAGGGUGCAAGCGUUAAUUGGAAUUACUGGGCGUAAAGCGUACGUAGGCGGCUUUUUAAGUCGGAUGUGAAAUCCCUGAGCUUAACUUAGGAAUCGCAUUCGAUACUGGGAGACUAGAGUAUGGGAGAGGAUGGUAGAAUUCCAGGUGUAGCGGUGAAAUGCGUAGAGAUCUGGAGGAAUACCGAUGGCGAAGGCAGCCAUCUGGCCUAAUACUGACGCUGAGGUACGAAAGCAUGGGGAGCAAACAGG
rnacentral:rRNA from 1 species